AGAGGGAAGAUGGCCACCUGAAGAUGGAGGCAGAGAUUGGAGAGAUGCUGCCCCAAGGAGGGGAGUCUGAUGGACUUUUCUGGAAACAAACGGUGCAUUGUUCCUGCCUCCUGGACCUGGGGUUCCCAUAGCCGCUCUCCCAACACCUUCCUUUCAAAGAACCUGGACGCCAGCUCCGGUUCCUUGAAUGCACCCACUCCUGGCCCAGCUUACAGCCAGCGCUCCGGGCCUCCAUAUGCUAGUUGUUUCGUGGGCCCUGAACACCUACAGGCUGUGCUAUUAAUUCCUCUCAGUGACUCUCAACUGCUGUUCACAGUCCAUGCGGGAAGCAGAGUUUGUCCAUUAGCUGUUGAACAUGCAGAGCGCUGGCAGUAAAGCCGGGUCAGAGCGUAAAGGUUUUAGGAGAAUUUGUCAUGGACUCCAGGAAUCUAUGCUGCAAGUGUCUUUUCUCUGGGAGGAGGUGGGAGAACAGACACUUGCGAAACCGUGACGAUUCAGUCCAUUCACAGCCCAGCUCCGCCCCACAGGAGAUGCUGCAAGGAGGCAAGAAACCAUUGCAAGAUCUGCCUGAGCCCGCGCCCCAGAGACAGAACGGCAGGUUGCCUCCCCUUCCAGGUGGCUAAUGACCUCACAAUAAUAGCUGACACUUGGAGAGUUCCCAGGUGGUGCAAAUGAUUAAUCAAUCAACUACUAGCUGAAAGAUUGGCAGUUCAAACCCACCGUUGGAAGACAGGCCUGGCAAUCUGCUUCAGAAAGGUCCCAGCCUUGAAACGCUACGGAGCGGUUCUACUCUGCACGCACAGGGUCUCCAUGAGUCAAAAUCGACUGGACGGCAGCUCACCAUAACCACAGACAGCACCGGGCAAACAGUCCUAAGAACUUGAUGAAUCGAACUCCUUUAAUCCCGUUGACAACCAGAUGAGGCAGGUGGAUUCUUAUUAUACCAUCUCACAGAUGAGGAAACUGAGGCUCAAAGGAAUUGUUAAGUGGCUAGUCAGUGGGAAAGCCAGGCUUUGCACCCAAGCGAUUUAGCUCCUGAAUCCACAGUCUUUCCCACAGCUUCCUUAUUUAUACUUCUGCCCAGAUUCCUUUCCAUAUAAGACACCCCUGUCCCUCAUCCCACGUCUCCCACCUCCCACCCAGAAGUGACCUCGCUCCCUGAGCAUCUCUGUCCUCAGAUUUCCCUCCCUGGCGUUUGCCUGGAGGACGUGUGGAUGGGAGCGGUAACUCAGAUCAUCUAAACAGCACGUCUAAAGAUAAUUGCUCCUUAGCUCUGGCUCUCAUCGUUCCGGCAGAUCCACGCUCCUAACUGCGUGGGCCGUGCCGGGCACCCAGAGCAAAGCUGGCUGGUGGCCAGGGACGUCUGGAUGUGGCUGGGAGCCUGGAUGGAAGGUGGGAAUGCAGAGCUGGGAUUGGACUUUUGCUAUGCAGAAUUUCUAAGAUUAUCUGUCAGGAAGAUGCUGUUUCAAUCAGUCACUUUAAUGGUUCAUUGAAGUCCCUCUAAGGAGAGGCUUGGAGCCCUGGUGGCACAAUGGUUAAGAGUUUGGCUGCUAACCAAAAGGUAGGCAGUUCAAAUCCAUGAACUGCUCCUUGGAAACCCGAUGGGGCAGCUAUAUUCUGUCCUAUAGGGUU